rnacentral:rRNA from 1 species
GAUGAACGCUGGCGGCGUGCCUAAUACAUGCAAGUCGAGCGAAUGGAUUAAGAGCUUGCUCUUAUGAAGUUAGCGGCGGACGGGUGAGUAACACGUGGGUAACCUGCCCAUAAGACUGGGAUAACUCCGGGAAACCGGGGCUAAUACCGGAUAACAUUUUGAACCGCAUGGUUCGAAAUUGAAAGGCGGCUUCGGCUGUCACUUAUGGAUGGACCCGCGUCGCAUUAGCUAGUUGGUGAGGUAACGGCUCACCAAGGCAACGAUGCGUAGCCGCCCUGAGAGGGUGAUCGGCCACCGGGGGACCGAGACACGGCCCAGAAUCCUACGGGAGGCAGCAGUAGGGAAUCUUCCGAAAUGGACGAAAGGCUGACGGAGCAACGCCGCGUGAGCGAUGAAGGCCUUCGGGUCGUACAGCUCUGUUGUUAGGGAAGAACAAGUAUCGGAGUAACUGCCGGUACCUUGACGGUACCUAACCAGAAAGCCACGGCUAACUACGUGCCAGCCGCCGCCGUAA